AAACAGUGGUCAAUCGCAGUACUCUAGGAAACAUGGCCGUCUGCAAGAAAUGGACUCUCGCCAAGGCAUUCUCCGGUCACCCGGAUGCCUCCAACUUUAAGCUCGAAGCCGAGGAGUUGCCGAAGCAACUAAAAGAGGGAGAAGUCCUCUGUGAAGCGGUUUUCCUGAGUGUCGAUCCCUAUAUGAGAUUAUUUCCUGUAGAUGUCGGCUCUGUUAUGUUUGGUGAACAAAUAGCCAGAGUGACCAAGAGUGAGAACCCGGAUUACCCCGUGGGGAUGUUCGUCCAGAUCAUGGUCGGAUGGAGGACCCACACCGUCCUCUCUGACCCCACCAAACUCAACAAGGUCAUGGACAUGGGGGAUCUGUCCAAAUCACUGGCACUCGGACCUCUUGGAAUGCCAGGCAUGACGGCAUAUUUCGGUUUCUUGGAUGCUUGUCAUCCCAAGCAUGGGGAGAUUGUCUACGUUAAUGGGGCCGCGGGAGCGGUGGGCAAUCUUGUAGGACAGAUCGCUAAGAUCAAGGGUUGUACGGUCAUCGGCAGUGCCGGAAGUGAGGAAAAGUGUAAGUGGUUGAAAGAAGAGCUUGGAUUUGACGCAGUGUUCAAUUACAAGAAGACACCGCUAGAGGACGCGCUGAAGGAACACGCCCCGAAAGGAGUUGACUGCUUCUUUGAUAACGUAAGAUUUCGUCUGUAGUGUAAAAAUGCAACGGCCAAACUUCACAUUCUUCUUCGGAUCUUUCAGACAGAGCUUGUUUUACGGCAUGACGGUAAGUCCCAAGAUGUUGCGAUUGUCAGUGGCUAUUCGUUAUCCCUCUAUGUUUUAUACAGGUCGGAGGGAAUGACACAACUACCGUCCUGAAGCACAUGAACAAAUGCGGAAGAGCCGCCAUUUGUGGCGCCAUUUCACAAUAUAAUAGGGAGGAGAAAGACAAAGAUAAAGGUACAUGUAAACGGGAGUGCAAGUGUCAUAUUUCAAAUCAAUCGCAACAUCUCGGGCCUUUUCGGGAGGUUUAACCUAGCCUGCCGGAAAGACCCGAGAAGUAGCGAUUGGUUUCGAAUAAAAUUGUAAUUUUUAAUUUUGUUUGAAAAACAACUACAUAUGAACAUUUAUUUUUAAAUUCAGAAUACAUAGAUAAUUAAGUACAUUGUACUUUUUUCAUUGUCAUGUUUUAGACAACUGAAGGCAAUGAAAAGAGGCAAAAUAAUGUAGAUCGAAAGCUUAGCGCAAGAAUACCUGUUCUCCUUCAUACGUAGUGCUUUAAUUUUGAACUUAUCAACUAAUAUUUACGUUUUCAAUGUCUUUAUCUGUGAUAACACAACUUCUCGAUUUUUUACUAUCAAUUUUGUACAUGUACUAUACAGUCCAAUAAAUUCAAAUGGCGUAUAAUUCGACCGCAAGCAGGUUUUCCUUAUUUAUAUUCAAAUACCUAUAUAAUCGUACAAUAGCUGAAAAUUAUAUAAAUAUAAGUUAUAAGGAAUCAUUCUUCGAAUAUUAUGAGGUUUGAUCACCUCGUAACACUAAAAGAAUGAUUCCGUAUUCCUUAUUCAUUCAUUAUGGAUUAGUCUGCAAUUUUAAGGGGAAAAAUGACUAAAUAUUUCAUAGGUGAGCUUCCAUACUCCGCCAUUUUGAUGAACAUGUUGCACGUGGAGGGAAUACAGGGCUGGCAUCACGUGGCCAAAUGGCCAGAGGCACUCAAACAGAUUCUUCAAUGGAUUAAGGAGGGGAAGAUGAAGUACAAGGAGUCGGUAACAGAGGGAUUCGAAAACACCGUCCCGGCAUUUAUUGGACUUUUUUCUGGUCAGAAUAUUGGCAAAGCUUUGGUCAAAAUAUAAGGCGUCUCUAGAACGUGGAAUGUGUUUUGUACUUAGGAGCUCUUCUCUGAAGGAGAUCAAAUUGGUACCGUUCAACGCUCCGCGACCAUUCAGCCUAAAAAUUCUUAAGUGAACUUUUGGGGAAACUUUUCUUUGGGGAGAUAAUUACACUAUUCCUGAUUAACAUUACCAUUUAAUCCAUGUCUGACGCGCCUAAUCGGUUUGGCCUAUAGAAGCCCAUACAAUAUUUAUUAUCUAUAAUGCCGGUAUAUACAUACUCUGUUCCUGCAUUAGUUGUAGCUUUUUGUUCUAUAGUAAAAACUUGCAUGUAUA
rnacentral:misc_RNA from 1 species